GCCCGGGUGGUGAAAUUGGUAUACACAGGAGACUUAAAAUCUCCCGCUAGCAAUAGCGUGCCGGUUCAAGUCCGGCCCCGGGCACCA
rnacentral:tRNA from 1 species